CAGGUAGUAACAGAGGGUUUGAUUAUGGCUCAGAUUGAACGCUGGCGGGAUGCUUUACACAUGCAAGUCGAACGGCAGCACGGACUUCGGUCUGGUGGCGAGUGGCGAACGGGUGAGUAAUGUAUCGGAAUGCUUAGUAGUGGGGGAUAACUACGCGAAAGCGUAGCUAACAUCGCAUACUACCUUCGGGAAAGGACCUUUCGGGCCUCGCACUAAUAGAGCGGCCGAUAUCGGAUUAGCUAGUUAGGCACGGUCACCAGUACGAUUGAUCCAGUCACAUUUGAGAGGACGACCAGCCACACACUGGGACUGGAGACGGGCCCAGACCCUACGGAGGCAGCAGUGGGGAAUUUUUGGGAUAAUGGGGGAAACUCCUGAUCCAGCCAUCCGCGUGUGCGAUGAAGGCCUUCAAGCUGUGCAAGCACUUUUGCAGGAAGAAAUGGCACGGGAUAAUACCCGUGCAACUGACGGUACCUGCAGAAUGGGCGCACUGAAGAAUUCACGUGCCAGCAGCCGCGUAUGUAGGUGCAAGCGCGUUAAUCGAAAUUACUGGGCGUAAAAGCGUGCGCAGGCGGUUCGGAAAGAAAGAUGUAAAACUGAGUUUUGAAUCUCGGAACUGCAUUUUUAACUACCGAGCUAGAGUGUCAGAGGGAGGUGGAAUUCCGCGUAGCAGUGAAUGUGCGUAGAUAUGUGGAGGAACACCGAUGGCGAAGGCAGCCUCCUGGGAUAACACUGACGCUCAUGCACGAAAGCGUGGGGAGCAAACAGGAUUAGAUACCCUGGUAGUCCACGCCCCAAACGAUGUCAAUCUCGCUGUUGGGGCCUCGGUCGGUAGCGGUGCCAAUGGUGAAGUUGACCGCCUGGGGAGGCGGUCGCAAGAUUAAAACUCAAAGGAAUUGACGGGGACCCGCACAAGCGGUGGAUGAUGUGGAUUAAUUCGAUGCAACGCGAAAACCUUACCUACCCUUGACAUGUCUGAAUCCCGAAGAGAUUUGGGGAGUGCUCGCAAGAGAACUGAACACAGGUGCUGCAUGGCUGUCGUCAGCUCGUGUCGUGAGAUGUUGGGUUAAGUCCCGCAACGAGCGCAACCCUUGUCAUUAGUUGCUACGAAAGGGCACUCUUCAAUGAGACUGCCGGUGACAAACCGGAGAUGGUGGGGAUGACGUCAAGUCCUCAUGGCCUUAUGGGUAGGCCUUCACAUCAAGCCAUACAAUGGCUUCGGAUGAGGUCGCCAACUCGCGAGAGGGGGAGCCAAUCCCAGAAACCCGAUCGUAGUCCGGAUCGCAGUCUGCAACUCGACUGCGUGAAGUCGGAAUCGCUAGUAAUCGCGGAUCAGCAUGUCGCAACAUACCCCUGGCUCCGGUAUACAACGCCCAACACACCAUGGAGUGGGUUUUACCAGAAGUAGUUAGCCUAACCGUAAGGAGGGCGAUUACCACGGUAGGAUUCAUGACUGGGGUGAAGUCGUAACAAGGUAG
rnacentral:rRNA from 1 species